UUGGUUGUAGCUUAAUUGGUAAAGCCCAUGAAUGUGAAUCAUGACGAUAUCGGUUCGAGUCCGUUCAGCCAACCCA
rnacentral:tRNA from 1 species